GAGGAAAGUCCGGGCUCCUUGAUGACACGGUGGCGGCUAACGGCCGCCGGGGGCGACCCCAGGGAAAGUGCCACAGAGAACAUACCGCCCGCCUUCGCUGCUUUGCAGCUUCGGCGAGGUAAGGGUGAAAAGGUGCGGUAAGAGCGCACCGCGCUUCUGGCAACAGAGGCGGCAGGGCAAACCCCACCGGGAGCAAGAUCGAAUAGGGAUGGGCGCGCGGAGCGGGAAACCGCAGACGCGGGGCGUGUCAUCGCGCUACUCAUCCGGGUUGAUUGCACGAGGCGUCUGGCAACAGGCGUCCCAGAUGAAUGGCCGUCGCGGAGCAUUUAGGCCAACACCCGGCAUG
rnacentral:RNase_P_RNA from 1 species